rnacentral:rRNA from 1 species
AUUGAACGCUGGCGGCAGGCCUAACACAUGCAAGUCGAGCGUGCUGCGGCCUUUUGCGUAAUUUAUGGGGAUCUUCCCGAUAGAGGUUGAUCACUACUGGAAACUGUGGCUAAUCCCGCAUACUAUCGGAUGAACCCUUAUGGGCUUAGCUAGUAGGUGGGGUAAAGGCUCACCUAGGCGAAGAUCUCUAGCUGGUCUGAGAGGAUGAUCAGCCACACUGGGACUCGGACACGGCCCAGACUCCUACGGGAGGCAGCAGUGGAGAAUAUUGCACAAUCGGCGCAACCCUUAUGCAGCCAUGCCGCGUGUAUGAAGCAGGCCUUAGGUUGGUAAAGUACUUUCAGCGAGGAGGCGGUAACCGAAGAAGAAGCACCGGCUAACUCCGUGCCAGCAGCCGCGGUAAUAG